ensembl:lncRNA
AUAAAACAUAACGGGUAACCGCUUUAUAAUCUCAUGUCUGCAAAGCGAUGUAUCCAUAGUGUACAGCUUGCAUACCGUAGUAGGCUGAUUUUAACACAUCGAGAUUGUUUGGACUGAACACACACCGUAUCACAGCGAAAUAAGAAGGUUCCGUAGAAGACCUGCUACAGUGGACACAAGCCAGUCUGCUGGAGCUACUUCUACCAUGGCUCAGUCUCUGUCAGGGAAGUCCUCCCCAGAGGAAUCUGCAGAGAAAGACCUCUGUGUCUCUGAGCUUAAGGAGAAAGAGCUCUUUGUCGCUGAGCUUCAGGCAGAGUUUCCAUUUCUGUCAGAUUACCUGAAUGGUCUAAAGGAUG